rnacentral:rRNA from 1 species
UACGAAGGGGGCUAGCGUUGCUCGGAAUCACUGGGCGUAAAGCGCACGUAGGCGGCUUUUUAAGUCAGGGGUGAAAUCCUGGAGCUCAACUCCAGAACUGCCUUUGAUACUGAGAAGCUUGAGUCCGGGAGAGGUGAGUGGAACUGCGAGUGUAGAGGUGAAAUUCGUAGAUAUUCGGAAGAACACCAGUGGCGAAGGCGGCUCACUGGUCCGAUACUGACGCUGAGGAGCGAAAGCGUGGGGAGCGAACAGG